rnacentral:ncRNA from 1 species
AAACUUGAGAGUUUGAUCCUGGCUCAGAACGAACGCUGGCGGCAUGCCUAACACAUGCAAGUCGAACGAGACCUUCGGGUCUAGUGGCGCACGGGUGC